GAGCACGCAUAUAUUUACAGGAUAGAUCUAUGGAUAGUUCUGCCGGUUCUGCGUCUUUUUUCAUUUUUUUGUGCCAAGUUGGUUCCUCUAAGGGCUGCCAACUUAUGUUACUGAUUCUGUAGUAUGAAUGUUGAUUUUGAGUGAAGAGCAGAAGAGAACACCGCAGUACAUCAUACACCGAGUAUAAUGGUUUCAAAAACCGAGGAUGAAAAAUUUUAUAAUGAUUCUGGAACUUCCGAAAUUUAAAAGCAUUGGAUUCCAUCAUAAAUAUACACAUGUAUUCGUAAUGACGUAUGAAAGUGUGCAAGAUACAAAAUUUUUGAAGUAUAGACGUAGGCCUGACCGCAAAUUCAGCAAUUAGAUGCAGCGUCGCGGCUCGACAGCUGCGCUAGCCCGCCGCCAUGUUUGACGGCACCAAGAUCUGCGUUUUUGCAUCUCGCGCGCUCGCGUGUUAGAUCAGCUGAUAUUGUCGUUGAUUAUGCCGUACAUUAAUUCUAUGUCGAUUAUAUUUAGAUUGACAGUUUUCAUCGCACGUUUAAUAUAACUGCUUUAACAACUACAUUUUAACAUACAAGAUGUUGAGAGAUUCGUUGUACAAUUUAAUCAAUAUAUCAAUAAACAAUUAAAUCUAAAU